rnacentral:tRNA from 1 species
CCGGUAGCUCAGUUUGGUAGAGCACCUGACUUUUAAUCAGGGUGUCCUGGGUUCGAGUCCCAGUCGG